CCUACGGGUGGCAGCAGUGAGGAAUAUUGGUCAAUGGACGAGAGUCUGAACCAGCCAAGUAGCGUGAAGGAUGACUGCCCUAUGGGUUGUAAACUUCUUUUAUAUGGGAAUAAAACAGGGUAUGCAUACCCUCUUGUAUGUACCAUAUGAAUAAGGAUCGGCUAACUCCGUGCCAGCAGCCGCGGUAAUACGGAGGAUCCGAGCGUUAUCCGGAUUUAUUGGGUUUAAAGGGAGCGUAGGUGGAUUGUUAAGUCAAGGGUGAAAUCCCCGCGCUCAACGUGGGAACUGCCUUUGAAACUGGCAAACGGGAGUGUGUGAGAGGAUAGUGGAAUUCCAGGUGUAGGAGUGAAAUCCGUAGAUAUCUGGAGGAACAUCAGUGGCGAAGGCGACUAUCUGGCACAUAACUGAUGCUGAGGAGCGAAAGCGUGGGUAGCAAACAGGAUUAGAUACCCCGGUAGUC
rnacentral:rRNA from 1 species